rnacentral:rRNA from 1 species
GACGAACGCUGGCGGCGUGCUUAACACAUGCAAGUCGAACGACGUGGCGAACGGGUGAGUAACGCGUAAUCAACCUGCCCUUCAGAGGGGGACAACAGGUGGAAAAGACUGCUAAUACAGCAUACUGAGGGAGGGGAUUGCGUCUGAUUAGCUAGUUGGAGGGGUAACGGCACAACAAGGCGAUGAUCAGUAGCCGGUCUUGCAGGGUGAACGGCCACAUUGGGACUGAGACACGGCCCAGACUCCUACGGGAGGCAGCAGUGGGGAAUCUUCCGCAAUGGACGAAAGUCUGACUGAGCAACGCCGCGUGAGUGAUGACGGCCUUCGGGUUGUAAAGCUCUGUUAAUCGGGGCGCGGUACCGGAAUAGAAAGCCACGGCUAACUACGUGCCAGCAGCCGCGGUAAUAC